UUCAAUGGCGGGCGGUGCGUGGGGAUCCCUGAUCCGCCGGUCUUUUUCGGUUACGCCCGGUAUGCCAACCCGCAUCGCCCGCCACCUUG
rnacentral:antisense_RNA from 1 species